UACGUAGGGGGCAAGCGUUGUCCGGAAUCAUUGGGCGUAAAGAGCGCGUAGGCGGCCCUGUAAGUCCGCUGUGAAAGUCAAGGGCUCAACCCUUGAAUGCCGGUGGAUACUGCAGGGCUAGAGUCCGGAAGAGGCGAGUGGAAUUCCUGGUGUAGCGGUGAAAUGCGUAGAUAUCAGGAGGAACACCGGUGGUGUAGACGGCUUUCUGGACCGUAACUGACGCUGAUACACGAAAGCGUGGGUAGCAAACAGG
rnacentral:rRNA from 1 species